rnacentral:rRNA from 1 species
GAUGAACGCUGGCGGCGUGCUUAACACAUGCAAGUCGAACGAACCUUCGGGUUAGUGGCGGACGGGUGAGUAACGCGUGGGAAUCUGCCCUCAGGAGGGGGAUAACGGUUGGAAACGGCCGCUAAUACCCCAUAUGCCGCGAGGUGAAAUGAAUUUCGCCUGAGGAUGAGCUCGCGUCUGAUUAGCUAGUUGGUGUAGGUAAUGGCUCACCAAGGCAUCGAUCAGUAGCUGGUCUGAGAGGAUGAUCAGCCACACUGGGACUGAGACACGGCCCAGACUCCUACGGGAGGCAGCAGUGGGGAAUUUUCCGCAAUGGGCGAAAGCCUGACGGAGCAACGCCGCGUGAGGGAUGAAGGCCUCUGGGCUGUAAACCUCUUUUAUCAAGGAAGAAGAUCUGACGGUACUUGAUGAAUAAGCCACGGCUAAUUCCGUG